CAGAGCAGGGCUCACAGAAGAUGUGGUGGAGCUCCCAGCUCUGCGAGUCGGGGCCGAGGAGGCCACCCUCAGCGUGGGAGCCCUCAGGCCCGGCCUCAGUCCCAGCUGGCAGAUGGAUUCUUUACCACUGCACCCCCUGGGAGACCCUGGUUGAAUGAUGGCCUCCCCCAAAAAGCUUGCUCAUCUACAAGUUCUCAGGGCACAUACUGCGGAAGCCUAGCUUAAAGGAUUUUGAGCAUCACCUUGCCAGCAUGGGAAAUGAGCCUGGAUCUGGUGGAUCCUAAAUCCAGUGAGAAGCACCCUGCGA